rnacentral:rRNA from 1 species
AAAUCCCCGGGCUUAACCUGGGAAUGGCGCCUGUGACUGUAUAGCUAGAGUGUGUCAGAGGGGGGUAGAAUUCCACGUGUAGCAGUGAAAUGCGUAGAUAUGUGGAGGAAUACCAAUGGCGAAGGCAGCCCCCUGGAUAACACUGACGCUCAUGCACGAAAGCGUGGGGAGCAAACAGGAUUAGAUACCCUGGUAGUCCACGCCCUAAACNAUNCUGACUAGUUGUUCGGGAUUUACAUCCUGAGUAACGUAGCUAACNCGUGAAGUCAGCCGCCUGGGGAGUACGGUCGCAAGAUUAAAACUCAAAGGAAUUGACGGGGACNCGCACAAGCGUGGAUGAUGUGGAUUAAUUCGAUGC